GAUGAACGCUGGCGGCGUGCUUAACACAUGCAAGUCGAACGGAGAUGUACGCUGAAGAAGCUUCGGUGGAUUCUUGUGCAUCUUAGUGGCGGACGGGUGAGUAACGCGUGGGCGACCUGCCUCACACAGGGGGAUAACAGCCAGAAAUGGCUGCUAAUACCGCAUAAGCGCACAGUGCUGCAUGGCACAGUGUGAAAAACCGAGGUGGUGUGAGAUGGGCCCGCGUCUGAUUAGCUUGUUGGCGGGGUAACGGCCCACCAAGGCAACGAUCAGUAGCCGGCUUGAGAGAGUGGACGGCCACAUUGGAACUGAGACACGGUCCAA
rnacentral:rRNA from 1 species